rnacentral:rRNA from 1 species
UAAGUUAAUAAGGGCGCACGGUGGAUGCCUUGGCACUAGGAGCCGACGAAGGACGUGACAAACGACGAUAUGCCUUGGGUAGCUGUAAGUAAGCGAUGAUCCAGGGAUUUCCGAAUGGGGGAACCCAACAGGUAAUACCUGUUACCUACAUCUGUUAAGGAUGUGAGGAGGAAGACGCAGUGAACUGAAACAUCUAAGUAGCUGCAGGAAGAGAAAGCAAAAGCGAUUGCCUUAGUAGCGGCGAGCGAAACGGCAGAAGGGCAAACCGAAGAGUUUACUCUUCGGGGUUGUAGGACUGCAAUGUGGACUCAAAGAUUAUAGAAGAAUGAUUUGGGAAGAUCAGCCAAAGAGAGUAAUAGCCUCGUAUUUAAAAUAGUCUUUGUACUUAGCAGUAUCCUGAGUACGGCGGGACACGUGAAAUCCCGUCGGAAUCUGGGAGGACCAUCUCCCAACCCUAAAUACUCCCUAGUGACCGAUAGUGAACCAGUACCGUGAGGGAAAGGUGAAAAGCACCCCGGGAGGGGAGUGAAAUAGAACCUGAAACCGUGUGCCUACAACAAGUUCGAGCCCGUUAAUGGGUGAGAGCGUGCCUUUUGUAGAAUGAACCGGCGAGUUACGUUAUGAUGCGAGGUUAAGUUGAAGAGACGGAGCCGUAGGGAAACCGAGUCUGAAUAGGGCGCCUUAGUAUCAUGACGUAGACCCGAAACCAUGUGACCUACCCAUGAGCAGGUUGAAGGUGCGGUAAGACGCACUGGAGGACCGAACCAGGGCACGUUGAAAAGUGCUUGGAUGACUUGUGGGUAGCGGAGAAAUUCCAAACGAACUUGGAGAUAGCUGGUUCUCUCCGAAAUAGCUUUAGGGCUAGCGUCGACAUUAGAGAUUCUUGGAGGUAGAGCACUGUUUGGGUGAGGGGUCCAUCCCGGAUUACCAAUCUCAGAUAAACUCCGAAUGCCAAUGAAUUAUGGUCGGCAGUCAGACUGCGAGUGCUAAGAUCCGUAGUCGAAAGGGAAACAGCCCAGACCACCAGCUAAGGUCCCAAAAUAAUUGUUAAGUGGAAAAGGAUGUGGGGUUGCACAGACAACUAGGAUGUUAGCUUAGAAGCAGCUAUUCAUUCAAAGAGUGCGUAAUAGCUCACUAGUCGAGUGACCCUGCGCCGAAAAUGUACCGGGGCUAAAACAAUUUACCGAAGCUGUGGAUACCUUUAUAGGUAUGGUAGGAGAGCGUUCUAUGUGUGAUGAAGGUAUACCGUGAGGAGUGCUGGAACGCAUAGAAGUGAGAAUGCCGGUAUGAGUAGCGAAAGACAGGUGAGAAUCCUGUCCACCGUAAGACUAAGGUUUCCAGGGGAAGGCUCGUCCGCCCUGGGUUAGUACGGGACCUAAGGAGAGACCGAAAGGUGUAUCCGAUGGACAACAGGUUGAUAUUCCUGUACUAGAGUAUGUAGUGAUGGAGGGACGCAGUAGGCUAACUAAAGCAGACGAUUGGAAGAGUCUGUCUAAGCAGUGAGGUGUGAAUUGAGUCAAAUGCUUAAUUCUAUAACAUUGAGCUGUGAUGGGGAGCGAAGUUUAGUAGCGAAGUUAGUGACGUCACACUGCCAAGAAAAGCUUCUAGCGUUUAAACAUACUCUACCCGUACCGCAAACCGACACAGGUAGUCGAGGCGAGUAGCCUCAGGUGAGCGAGAGAACUCUCGUUAAGGAACUCGGCAAAAUGACCCCGUAACUUCGGGAGAAGGGGUGCUGACUUAAAGUCAGCCGCAGUGAAUAGGCCCAAGCAACUGUUUAUCAAAAACACAGCUCUCUGCUAAAUCGUAAGAUGAUGUAUAGGGGGUGACGCCUGCCCGGUGCUGGAAGGUUAAGAGGAGUGCUUAGCGUAAGCGAAGGUAUGAAUUGAAGCCCCAGUAAACGGCGGCCGUAACUAUAACGGUCCUAAGGUAGCGAAAUUCCUUGUCGGGUAAGUUCCGACCCGCACGAAAGGCGUAAUGAUUUGGGCACUGUCUCAACGAGAGACUCGGUGAAAUUUUAGUACCUGUGAAGAUGCAGGUUACCCGCGACAGGACGGAAAGACCCCAUGGAGCUUUACUGCAGUUUGAUAUUGAGUGUCUGUACCACAUGUACAGGAUAGGUAGGAGUCUAAGAGAUCGGGACGCCAGUUUCGAAGGAGACGCUGUUGGGAUACUACCCUUGUGUUAUGGCCACUCUAACCCAGAUAGGUGAUCCCUAUCGGAGACAGUGUCUGACGGGCAGUUUGACUGGGGCGGUCGCCUCCUAAAAGGUAACGGAGGCGCCCAAAGGUUCCCUCAGAAUGGUUGGAAAUCAUUCGCAGAGUGUAAAGGUAUAAGGGAGCUUGACUGCGAGAGCUACAACUCGAGCAGGGACGAAAGUCGGGCUUAGUGAUCCGGUGGUUCCGUAUGGAAGGGCCAUCGCUCAACGGAUAAAAGCUACCCUGGGGAUAACAGGCUUAUCUCCCCCAAGAGUUCACAUCGACGGGGAGGUUUGGCACCUCGAUGUCGGCUCGUCGCAUCCUGGGGCUGUAGUCGGUCCCAAGGGUUGGGCUGUUCGCCCAUUAAAGCGGCACGCGAGCUGGGUUCAGAACGUCGUGAGACAGUUCGGUCCCUAUCCGUCGCGGGCGUAGGAAAUUUGAGAGGAUCUGCUCCUAGUACGAGAGGACCAGAGUGGACUUACCGCUGGUGUACCAGUUGUCUUGCCAAAGGCAUCGCUGGGUAGCUAUGUAGGGAAGGGAUAAACGCUGAAAGCAUCUAAGUGUGAAACCCACCUCAAGAUGAGAUUUCCCAUGAUUAUAUAUCAGUAAGAGCCCUGAGAGAUGAUCAGGUAGAUAGGUUAGAAGUGGAAGUGUGGCGACACAUGUAGCGGACUAAUACUAAUAGCUCGAGGACUUAUCCA